rnacentral:rRNA from 1 species
AUGAAAUCGACAAGUAUGGUACUCGGAAGCUGCUGCAAGUUUCUACAAGUAAUUCUAAUCGAAUGGUUAGCAGUGUACAUUAGUAUAUCAUUUUUUUCAACAGGCAUUAGUACACCAUUAGUGGUGCGUACAAGACGUACAGUUUUUUAUGCCGAAUACAGGACGUACAGUUCAACUGUUAUGUUAAAGGGGGCAGCCCCAGUGCAUGUAGCUCCCGCUUGCGCAGGGUCUGGGGAAGGGUCCGACCACUUUGGGUCUAUUGUACGCAGCCUUUCCCUACAUUUCUGCAAGAGGCUGUUUCCAGGACUUAAACCCGUGACCUCAUGGUCACAAGGCAGCAGCUUUACCACUGCGCCAAGGUCCCCUUCAUACUACUUUAAUUAG